AGACACCCUUAUGGGGCAAGACUUGCUUCAGUGGGGCUUUGGUGCUCACUGAGUGCCCCCUGAGUGUUUCCCU
rnacentral:pre_miRNA from 1 species